GAGGGUAUAGCUCAGUGGGAGAGCGCUUGCUUAGCAUGCAUGAGGUCCUGGUUUCAAUCCCCAGUACCCCCA
rnacentral:tRNA from 1 species